ensembl:lncRNA
AUCUGCUGCCUGCGUGCUUGCCUGGAAGCCGACAUCAAGCCCAUUUGGCCAGAAAUACCUCUAGAGGUGGAGCUGGUCCAGAAGACUGGACCCCCAGAGUGCUAUGGAAUGUCUAUGGGAACAAAGGAUGAUCUAAUGGACAACAGAGAAACACGAUGAUCUGGGUCAUGAAACACAAGGAAAGAUGGAGGAACUGUCACAGACCAGGGGAGAUGACAACUAAGUGCAAUAUGGUGUCCUGGAUGGAAUCCUGGAACAGGAAAGAGACAACUUUGGAAAGAUCAGAGAAAUCCCAACAGAACUAUAGGAAUCUGAACUGUGCAAAAGAAUUAUCACUCACUGCAAGUCCCAGAGUGAACACUUUCUAUGAGAUACUCCAACAGCACAAUGUGUCAUGGAGCCAGGGGGACUGGGUUCGAAUCCCAGUUCUGCAGCAUAGCAGUUAUCUUUGGAUGCAUCACGGCAUGUGAAGAUUACUAAUUCAGUUCACAAGCGAAAGCAGCAAACACCACUUGGUUGCUGAAUUGUGCAGCCAUUAUGGAAAUGCACACCUGUUCAAUUGGUUUUGGGACAGUCUUCAUUUCGAUUAGGGUUUCGUUUCCUUCGAAG